rfam:Trichobilharzia regenti genome assembly, scaffold: TRE_scaffold0020623
GUACUGAUGAUGAGUCACAAAUUAAGACGAAACAGCUGUCCAGUAC